GCCGAGCGAGCGAAGCAGGUGGAGAGGGAGGGGUUGAGAGGCGGGGACUUCGGCGGUCGCGCUGGGCUCUUUGUCUCCAUUAACUCCUUCAUGGCAGCCCCCCUUCAUCCCUUCCUUCAGCCAGCAGGUGUCUGGAAUCAAGGUGUGUGUUUGGGGUGUGUGUGGAAGGACAAUAGACAGAUACUUCCCUUGUCCCCCUCCCCCCCCCUCACACCCAGACUCAGUCGUCAUCACUGGAGCUGAAGACAGGACCAAGGCUGCUCCCCCUUCCCUAAACUCUCCAUCUGUUUGAAUUUCCAGGAGUUCCUGAUCUCUUGCCCCUUCCUCAGGCCUAGCUGGAAACUCGGUUUCCGUAAUCUUCUCAGGGGUUGGAUGUGUGGAGGCUGAACACUGAGACAGAAAUAGCAUUUGUACUGGGGAGGGAAAGCCUUUUCUAUCCCUCACAUACUAAUUGAGGAGGGGGAGGAGGAAUAGGGAUCUCUAGUUUGUGAGUGGGAUUGGAGAAGGAUGUGACUGGGUCUCUGGAAACACUGGGUGGCUGGGGACAGGGUGCCUGGAUCCUGGGUGGUGUGGCCAGGAUUCUCCUGGCACUUCAGGGGGUUGGUAGGCAAGAUGGUGCUAAUCUCUCUCUAAGCUGUGGGGGGGAGUGGAGGGGGAGGGGUCCCAUCUGCCAUCUAAUUCCCUCAGAACCUGCUGGGUGUCAAGAGGCUGGUUGCUAUAGGACACACACAGGAGAGCUGGGAAACGCCUACAGUGUCCCCAGCUGGUGGGGGAGGCAGGUAUCUUAAGAGAAUACAAAAGAAGUGUGAGGAUCGUGGGGGGCUGAAAAUGAGGAACUGGACAGUUGGGUGCUGGAAAAGGCAAGUGGGAGGAGGUGCUGGUAGGUCUGCAAGGCAGGCUGGGAUGUGUCAUUCUCUAUCUGUUGCAGGAUGAAUACUGGAGCUAAAGCUAAAACUGGGGGAAGGGCCCCCCCAGCUGCCCGCCUGCCCAGCUCCACAGUGCCAGGGUCUCUCGGGACUCCUAAAAGAUCAGGGGCAGUGCCGCCACGAGUCGCUGCUGAACCCAGAGCUGUGGUGAAGAGGCCUUCCGGGGAGCCCACGGGACGAGUGGCGCCUGUCCCCAAAGUGGCCACAGCCCUAUCUGGGCCCCCAAGAACCAGCAAGACAGGCCACAGUGUUUCUAGCACAGUGCCCAGGCAGCCUUUGGUGAGGAAAGCAGAACCAGCUCCAGGUGCUGGCCAAGCUUCCAGACCAGGGCCUGAGAGCUCCAGAGUGUCCACGCCAGCCAAGCAAGUCCGUUCUGCCCCGGUGGCAUCUGGAGCUAAGUCUAAGACACCCCUAGCUUCCACCUCCACAGGACGGAACAUUGUGGCCCCAGCAGAAGCCAGGAGAGAUACCAUUCGACCAGCUCAGGGAACACAAAGCUCAAGGGCUGGGCUCCCUGGGUCACGGUUGGUUGGAACCUCAGAACCCGAGCCAGGCUCUCCGCGAACUCCCCUCAAAUCCAGGGCCAAGCCCUCACCCCUGCCCAAAGCCACAGCCCCCAGAAGAACGCUCAGGAGCCCUGGGGACCCUGUCUCCAGCCCAGCCUCUGCAGCCAGGAGGAAGUCCAGUGAAGGUUCUUCCGGGCUUCCUUCUCGCCUCCCUGGACCCACUCGUCGCCUGGACAGCGCCUCUGCUGCCUCCUGGGCCCAGCCCUCUCUUCAGGCCCCGCCCCCGACCUGCCCAGUCCUCAGAUCCAAGGGUCCUUCCUUUUCCUCCACAUCCCCAUCUAGGAGAAAAGACCAGCAGGCUUCACCCCUAGCCACACCCCCUAUACAAGCUCCUCCCCUUUCAUUGCCCACUCCCCCUCUACAAAACGAUUCUCCGCCCACAUCUCCCCAGCAUGCCCCACCCUCCUCUUUAGUCACACCCACAAAACAUGCCCCGCCCCCUCUAACCACAUCUUCUAAACAAGCUCUUCCUUCUCUCUUGGACACAUCCCCUCUACAAGUCAAUUCCUCUCUGUCAAUAUCUCCCCAGGCGGUCCCACCCUCUCCCUUAGCGACACCCGCUAAACAAGCCCCUCCCUCUCCCUUGCCUAUUCCCCCUCCUCAAGUCAAUUCCUCUCUGUCCACAUCUCCCCAGCAGAUCUCCCCCUCUCCCAUAGCCACAUCCACUACACAAGCCCCUCCCUCUCCCUUAGCCACACCCACUAAACAAGCCCCUCCCUCUCCCUUGCCUAUACCCCCUCCUCAAGUCAAUUCCUCUCUGUCCACAUCUCCCCAGCAGAUCUCCCCCUCUCCCAUAGCCAUAUCCACUACACAAGCCCCUCCCUCUCCCUAGCCACACCCACUAAACAAGCCCCUCCCUCUCCCUUGCCUAUACCCCCUCCUCAAGUCAAUUCCUCUCUGUCCACAUCUCCCCAGCAGAUCUCCCCCUCUCCCAUAGCCAUAUCCACUACACAAGCCCCUCCCUCUCCCUUAGCCACACCCACUAAACAAGCCCCUCCCUCUCCCUUGCCUAUACCCCCUCCUCAAGUCAAUUCCUCUCUGUCCACAUCUCCCCAGCAGAUCUCCCCCUCUCCCAUAGCCACAUCCACUACACAAGCCCCUCCCUCUCCCUUAGCCACACCCACUAAACAAGCCCCUCCCUCUCCCUUGCCUAUACCCCCUCCUCAAGUCAAUUCCUCUCUGUCCACAUCUCAGGAGGUCUCUCCCUCUUCUUUAGCCACACUCGUUAAAGAAGACCCUCCUCCCUUAGCCACACCCACUAAGCAUGCUCCUCCCUCUCCCUUAGCCACACCUCCACAAAUCAAUUCUGUGUCCUCAUCUUCCCAAAAGGCCCUACCCUCUCCCUUAGCCACAUCCUCCAUACAAGCUCCUCCACUUUCCUUGGCUACACCCUUUCUACAAACGAAUUCUCUUUCCACAUCUCUCCAGCAGGUCCCAUCUUCUCCUUUAGCCACAUCCACUAAACAAGCCCCUCCUUCUCCCUUAGCCACACCUGCACAAACCAAUUCUCUUUCCACAUCUCCAGAGCAAAUUGCAUCCUCUCCUUUAGCCACAUCCACUCAAGCUCCACCCUCUCCCUUAGCCACACCCCCUAAACAAUCUCCUCCCUCUCCCUUGUCCACACCCCCUCUACAAACUAAUUCUCCGUUCACAUCUCCUCAGCAGACCCCACCCUCUCCCUUAGCCACACCCUCUAAACAAGCUCCUCCCUCUCCCUUGUCUACACCCCCUCUACAAACCAAUUUUCCGUUCACAUCUCCUCAGCAGGCCCCACCCUCUCCCUUAGCCACACCCCCUAAACAAGCUCUUCCCUCUCCUUUGGCCACACCCCUUCUACAAGCGAAUUCCGCUCUGUCUACAUCUCCCCAGCAAGAUUCACCCUUUCCUCUAGCCAUCAGUUCUUCCUCAGCCACAUCACUUCCUCAGGCUCCUCCCUCUCUGACCACAGCCCCUCAAAAGGCCCCACCUUCUCCUUCCUUAGCCACAUGCUCCCUUCAGACCUCAACCUCUCCAGCUAUACUUCCUCCACAGGCUGCCCCCUCUUCUCUGGCCACCUCUAUCCAGGCUGCUCUCACUCCUACCAAUUCCACUCUGCAGAACUCGCUCUCUCCUUUAGUCACACCCUCAGAGCAAAGAGCUGACUCUCUACUGGCCACGCCUCUUAUUCAGGCUCCACCCUCUCCCUUGUCCCCACCCAUUCCCCCUCGGGCCACACCUCAGGAUCCAUCCUUGUCAUUAGCUACGCCUCCUCACCAGGUCCUUGCCCCUUCUCAAAAACUCUCCAUUUUAGCCACACCUUCUCUACAAACCCCUCCCAUUCCUUCAGAUCCACCUUCUCACUUGUUCUCAACCUCUCCUCCCUUGGGUCCUCUUCAGUCCUCUCCUUUUCCUUUGGCCUCCCCCCCUCCUCAAGCUCCUCCCUUCUCUCCAGCCUCCCCCCCUCUGCAGGACCUUCCCUCUCCCAUAGCCACACACUCUCAACAAGCUCCAUCCUUUCACUUGGUUCCGCCCUCCCCGCCCUUGGCCAUCCCACCUCUUCAGACCCCUCCCUUGCACCUGGCCACGCCUUCUCAGGUGCCAUCUUGGGACACACGCCCUUUGCAGCCUCUCUCUGUUCCUCUGGUCUUGCCUCCCCCUCCCUCUCCUCUAACCACGCCUCCUCUUCAGACCCCUCCCUCUCCCCUGGCCACGCCCCUUGGACAGGCCCUUCCCUCUCCCCAACACAUACUUUUGGUGCAAACUCCUCCCUCUCUCCUGCCCAUACCUCUUGUGCCGCCCUCAUCCUCUUCGCUGGUCACCGCCCCUCUGCCGGCCCAGCCCCACCUGCAGAAUCCGCCUCCUGGGGAAUUGUCCCUUCCCGAGUCUGUCCUGUCUUUGGGAGCCUUGGGUGGGGAGCUGUCCAGAAGCCCUUCCAGUACUCUGAGUGGCCCAGACCUUGCUGGACACAGCAGUAGCGCCACAAGUACGCCCGAGGAACUUCGAGCCUAUGACAGCGGCCCUGAGAUAGGGGCCCCAGCUUCGCCCCCACCCGAUCCUGAGCUUGAACUUGCUGCCUGCCAUCCUGCUGCCUGGAGCCGGCCAGGGGCCCCAACCAGGAGCCCCUGUACCACCACCCCUCGACUUACCCAUGGGGUCCCAGGUGAACCACUGCCCUGGUCUCCUUUGGCAGGGCCCCCUGAUGGUCUAUCCACAAUCUAUGAGGCAGAAGCUCCAGAAACAGCAUUUGGACCCCCACACAGAGACGUACAAGAUCAGGGGGAAGAGGAAGACCAGACAGUGGAGAAGAUGCCUUCAGCCCCUCGAGGUCCCAAGCCAGCUAGAGUGGGUGAGCUGCAGCUGGGAGCAUUGCAGGCCAGCGUAGUACAGCAGCUGCUGAGCCGGACGCUGCUGCUGGCUGCAGAGGGACCAGGGGGAGCCAGGCAGGGACCUGGGGGUGGCCGCCCAGCUCUAAGUGAUGCCGAGCUGGGCCGGUGGGCAGAACUGCUCUCACCUCUGGAUGAGUCCCGGGCGAGCAUCACGUCUGUCACUAGCUUCUCCCCAGAUGAUGUUGCCUCGCCACAGGGAGACUGGACUGUAGUGGAGGUGGAGACUUUCCACUGAGAUGCCCUUGUCCCAUCCAUCCAAAGGACCAUUGUGCCCUCUGAACUGAAGGCCCCAGCCUGAUACCUGCCUCUUGCCUGUUUUCCCACCCGCAGUUCUGUAGCAGGGGGAAUUAGGCAAAGGGAUAGUCGUGAUGAUGUUCUAGCUUCCUAACAUCCUUCCAUCUGAGUCCUGGAAGGUCUUGGCCUGACCAGCUUCUUGAUUCCCAUGUAUUGUAUGUAUGUAUGUUGUAGAUUGCCAUUGCUGGUUUGCUCCUGUGACCUCUAGCUUCUGUGGGUGGCGUGCCUGUGUGUUUUCUAAGGCCUUUUUAGUUUGUAAUAAAGAUGAGACAGUG